rnacentral:ncRNA from 1 species
GGGUCGCUGAAUUAGAGAUCGGCACCUGUACUUUUAUCUUAAAAUUUGGAGUUUGUAAUAUGUCUCUAAGUGUUGAAACUAAAGCGCAAAUCGUUGCUGAUUUCGGUCGCGGCGC